UCCGUCACGAUUCCCUUUUAUUCCAAAAGUUGUGUCCUUAAGAGGUUAAAACAUCAUUAAAUUUCAUUACAUGUGAAACUUUUAGAAAGUGAGACAAUAUAAAAAUUGUUGUCUUUUAAGUCCCCUGGAAUGCACACUGUAUUGUACACGAAUGAGAUAGGUGUGCAGUGGUAAAUUGCACAAAAUGCAGUCCAAGACUGUCUUUGAUUGGGUAAUCAUCUUCAAUUAAGGGCAAGCGGGGAUAGAAAAAAAUUACAGUCUGGGCUUGAUUUCCACAGAUCUAUGACAAGGAGGG